GCGCAGCAGUCGCGAAAACUCCGCAAUACACGAAAGUGUGACGGGGUCAUCCCGAGUGCCGUCCGCUGAGGACGGCUUCUCCUCAGUGUAGAUAGCUGGGGGAAUAAGGAGAGGGCAAGUCUGGUGUCAGCCGCCGCGGUAAUACCAGCUCUCCGAGUGGUGGGGACGUUUAUUGGGCCUAAAGCAUCCGUAACCGGCUGGACAAGUCCCCCGUUAAAUCCAGCGAUUCAAUCGUUGGACUGCAGGGGAUACUGCCCAGCUAGGGGACGAGAAAGGCCGACGGUAUUCCCGGGGUAGGGGUGAAAUCCUAUAAUCCCGGGAGGACCACCAGUGGCGAAGGCUGUCGGCUGGAACGCACCCGACGGUGAGGGAUGAAAGCUGGGGGAGCGAACCGGAUUAGAUACCCGGGUAGUCCCAGCCGUAAACGAUGCAAGCUAGGUGUUCGAGUGGCUACGUGCCACUCGAGUGCCGCAGGGAAGCCGAUAAGCUUGCCGCCUGGGGAGUACGGCCGCAAGGCUGAAACUUAAAGGAAUUGGCGGGGGAGCACCACAAGGGGUGAAGCUUGCGGNUUAAUUGGAUUCNACGCCNGGAAGGGCGAAU
rnacentral:rRNA from 1 species